UAGAGUAAUGCGUGACCAACCUGCCCCAUGCUCCAGAAUAGCUCUUGGAAACGGGUGGUAAUGCUGGAUGCUCCAACUUGACGCAUGUCUUGUUGGGAAAGUGUUUAGUGGCAUGGGAUGGGGUCGCGUCCUAUCAGCUUGUAGGCGGGGUAAUGGCCCACCUAGGCUUCGACGGGUAGCCGGCCUGAGAGGGCGGACGGCCACAUUGGGACUGAGACACGGCCCAGACUCCUACGGGAGGCAGCAGUG
rnacentral:rRNA from 1 species